ACGCCCGCUCAAGAACUACAAUAGAAGUGGCGGGGGCCCGGCACAAGCGGUGGAGUAUGUGGUUUAAUUCGAUGCAACGCGAAGAACCUUACCUGGUCUUGACAUCCCGGAGACCCUUAGGAAACUAGGGGGUGCUUCCAUCUGGAAGAAUCUGGAGACAGGUGCUGCAUGGCUGUCGUCAGCUCGUGUCGUGAGAUGUUGGGUUAAGUCCCGCAACGAGCGCAACCCUUGCCUUUAGUUGCCAGCAGUUCGGCUGGGCACUCUAAAGGGACUGCCGGUGUUAAACCGGAGGAAGGUGGGGAUGACGUCAAGUCCUCAUGGCCUUUAUGACCAGGGCUACACACGUACUACAAUGGCCGAUACAAAGGGCAGCGACACUGCGAGGUGAAGCCAAUCCCGUAAAAUCGGUCUCAGUCCGGAUUGGAGUCUGCAACUCGACUCCAUAAGAAGUUGGAAUCGCUAGUAAUCGUGGAUCAGCAUGCCACGGUGAAUACGUUCCCGGGCCUU
rnacentral:rRNA from 1 species